CGGCGGACGGGUGAGUAACACGUGGAUAACCUACCUAUAAGACUGGGAUAACUUCGGGAAACCGGAGCUAAUACCGGAUAAUAUUUUGAACCGCAUGGUUCAAAAGUGAAAGACGGUCUUGCUGUCACUUAUAGAUGGAUCCGCGCCGCAUUAGCUAGUUGGUAAGGUAACGGCUUACCAAGGCAACGAUGCAUAGCCGACCUGAGAGGGUGAUCGGCCACACUGGAACUGAGACACGGUCCAGACUCCUACGGGAGGCAGCAGGU
rnacentral:rRNA from 1 species